AUUAUCUGUGAUGAUAUGAAUACCGCCCCAGUCUGAACUGAAAUGACUGAAUGGUGAUAUCUGAGCCUGAC
rfam:Lingula anatina scaffold12, whole genome shotgun sequence.